rnacentral:rRNA from 1 species
AUUGAACGCUGGCGGCAGGCCUAACACAUGCAAGUCGAGCGGCAGCGGGAAAGUAGCUUGCUACUUUUGCCGGCGAGCGGCGGACGGGUGAGUAAUGCCUGGGAAAUUGCCUAGUCGCGGGGGAUAACAGUUGGAAACGACUGCUAAUACCGCAUACACCCUACGGGGGAAAGCAGGGGGCCUUGGGGCCUUGCGCGAUUGGAUAGGCCCAGGUGGGAUUAGCUAGUUGGUGAGGUAAUGGCUCACCAAGGCGACGAUCCCUAGCUGGUUUGAGAGGAUGAUCAGCCACACUGGAACUGAGACACGGUCCAGACUCCUACGGGAGGCAGCAGUGGGGAAUAUUGCACAAUGGGGGAAACCCUGAUGCAGCCAUGCCGCGUGUGUGAAGAAGGCCUUCGGGUUGUAAAGCACUUUCAGCGAGGAGGAAAGGUUGAUGCCUAAUACGUAUCAACUGUGACGUUACUCGCAGAAGAAGCACCGGCUAACUCCGUGCCAGCCGCCGCAGUAAAAC